GUAGGUGAAAGAAACCUAGACAAAAAAGCUGGACAAACAGAGGGAACGGAGACUGGGAACGCGGCCAUUGAGGAGGAGGUGCAUCAACAAAUCACCCCCAUUAACAAGCAAGGUACAAGUCAGAACAGAGAGGAAAUAAAAUCUUCAGGAAUAGAAGCGAAGGACACUAACAACGUGGUUGCUGAGAUAUCCGAAGAAGAUAAUCCUAGUAAUAAGAAAAAAGAUGCCAAUCAUGGGAAAGAAAGCGACAAAGCUCCGGAGGAAGAAGCAAGCCUCAAUAAUAAUGGGACCGAUGGAGAACAAGUUAGUCUUGAUGAUGGUAAAUAUAUGAACAGGCUUCAAUGAUAAAAACACCUCUUUGGUUGUAGAGCAGUAGAUAGAACCCUUUAGAAGUUACGCAACCAGUUGUAGUUUGAAUCAGUCUCUUAAGAGUGCAUUUCCACCUCAAAAUGACUC